UAUUCGCUUCUUUGCAUUAAAUAUCCUUCUCCCCUGGCGUAACUGUUUAAAUGUAAGCAUCAUGGGACAUGGAACACAUUGGGUCACUCAUAAUUCAGGUACCCAGGUUUCCACCUGCUGAGAGCCUACAACUCCCCCAGAGGACUCACGUGGGUGUUGACCGUCCCCAGACAUGGGGCAGCCAGCACGAGGGAAGGAGAGGGAGCAUUUUUAGGACUAUGAAGCCCUGGGAAAGAAUCAGGAAAAGUGGACUUGCUUCUGGAAGCCAGCAGCCAUGCUGUGUGGAAGCCCAACCAGCCUAUGCCAAGAGACCACAUGGCAAGACUGGGUGUAGAUGUUCCGGAUGGCAGCACAGUGGAGGUUCGGCCAAGAGUCAACACCAACUAUGAGGCCUAGCUCUCAAGACAGAAGCCCAGGAAAGCUCAUCUGGCAAGGCAGGUCCUUCCACAGAGAAUGAAGGAGAGAGAGAAAAAACCUGCAGGAACCAGUUUGAAUUCUUUGCAGGUGGAGAGAAGGACAAGCUGAGUUGUUUAUACUGGCAAUCAUUUUUCUUGUCUUACAUAUGCAGUG